rnacentral:lncRNA from 1 species
AUGCAUCUUGUUCAUUUCCACUGUGGAAGUGUUUGCUGCAUCUCCGAGGCGCUCAUUCCAGAGGUGUCCUGCCCCAUACCGAAGAUGAAGGAAUGCUACCCAGAGAGGCCAAGAAGAAUCUGCACAGACAAGCCUUGUGUGUUCCCUGCUCAGUCUAUCACAAUUAGAUUCUUCUCUUUGUCCAGUCACGUUUCUACAUGGUUGCCAUUCUUCACUGAACCUAAACAGAAAAUCAGUUUUCCCUGGGUGUUUGGGUCUUCAUUUCUGACGGCUGCUGUGUCCUGUACAAUUUUGAUUAAAUAAAUUUAUUAUGCAUUUGAUAUGGUUUGGUAUGUCCUCACCCAAAUCUCUUCUUGAAUUAUAGUUCCCAUCAUCCCCAUGUGUCCUGAGGGACCCAGUGGGAGGUAAUGGAAUCAUGGGGGUGGUUACCUCCAUGCUAUUCUUAUGAUAGUGAGUUCUCACAAGAUCUGAUGGUUUUAUAAGGCGCGUUCCCUCCUUCUGCUUGGCACUUCUCCUCCUGCUGCCAUGUGAAGAAGGACGUGUUUGCUUCCCCUUCCACCAUGAUUGUGUUUCCUGAGGCCUCCCCAUCCAUGCUGAACUGCGAGUGAAUUAAACCUCUUUCCUUUUAAAUUACCCAGUCUUGGGUAUGUCUUCAUUAGUAGUAUGAGAACAGAUGAAUAUAGCAUUUCUCUUGUUAACCUGUUUUUUGUUGCAAGUGUUGGCUCUGACCUUUAUAAUGGAUAUGAAAAAGUAUUGCAGCUUUCUGUCUCUAUACUGGUUAAGUCUUUCUCACAUCAUGUCCCUUUGAUACCCACUCUCCUGCCUCCUUUUUCCACAUUUAAAGACCCUUGUAAUUACACUGCGCCCACCUGGAUAAUCCAGGAUUAUCUCCCUAUUUUAAGGUCAGCUGAUUAGCAACCUUAAUUCCAUCUGCUACCUUAAUUCCUCUGUG